rnacentral:rRNA from 1 species
GAUGAACGCUGGCGGCGUGCCUAAUACAUGCAAGUCGAGCGAACAGACGAGGAGCUUGCUCCUCUGACGUUAGCGGCGGACGGGUGAGUAACACGCGGAUAACCUACCUAUAAGACUGGGAUAACUUCGGGAAACCGGAGCUAAUACCGGAUAAUAUAUUGAACCGCAUGGUUCAAUAGUGAAAGACGGUUUUGCUGUCACUUAUAGAUGGAUCCGCGCCGCAUUAGCUAGUUGGUAAGGUAACGGCUUACCAAGGCAACGAUGCGUAGCCGACCUGAGAGGGUGAUCGGCCACACUGGAACUGAGACACGGUCCAGACUCCUACGGGAGGCAGCAGUAGGGAAUCUUCCGCAAGGGGCGAAAGCCUGACGGAGCAACGCCGCGUGAGUGAUGAAGGUCUUCGGAUCGUAAAACUCUGUUAUUAGGGAAGAACAAAUGUGUAAGUAACUAUGCACGUCUUGACGGUACCUAAUCAGAAAGCCACGGCUAACUACGUG